GCGGGGCCGGGAGCGGCCGUGACGAGCCGGGAGGGGAAGGAGUGGAAAGGUCCCCAGAAGAGCAGGGACAGGGACGUGUUGGAGCCAGUCCGGAGGCGGCCACCAAGUUGAUCAGAGGAAAGGAAGGAAAGGAUGAGAGAGAGAGAGCUGGGAUUGCUCAGCCUGGAGAAGGCUUGGGGUGACUCAACUGCGGCCUUCCAGUGCCUGAGGGGAGCCUAAAGGAAAGAGGGGACAAGACUAUUUACAGAGCGUGUGGUGACAGGACAAGGAGGAAUGAUUUCAAACUAAGAGUGCAUUGAAUGUCCCUGUCAGCCCAGUGUGAUGGUGGGACAGACAGAAGAGUAAUUCUUCCUGAAGGCAGCACCAAAAGGAAGCUUAGAGAAUGUGAUUUGUGGAGGAACUGCAUUUAUUUUAUCACCCUUGCCCACACUUCUUUAUAGGUGUCUCUGACUGCAUAGUGAUUUACUGGAAAGGUGAUUGAGGAGCCAAUGUGUGAUGAAAGGUGCCUGCUAGAUGAGCUCUUCUGGUACCUGAGGGCGAAUGAAUCACUCAAUUCAUCUGGAUGAAUCGAGAUGCGAUUUUCACUGUGUUGCUUUUGAAUUUUGAAAUAUUUUGUAAUACUUGUAGCUGUUUGAUAAAUCCAGCUCUCUUGAACCAUUAGAAGUGAUGAUCAUAAAGCUUAAUAAGUGCUGCCUAUGGGUGUAAGGAGGACAGCUAUGACAAGUGCCUUUUAUUAUAUUCUGAAAUACAAUUUUACCUUGUGGACGCUUCCCUCACCCGGUGCAGAUACACCUGCUGUUUAAUAAAGGUUGAAAAACCGGAAAACAAUAAAGUAAA